AAUAUAUUAAUAACACAACAGGGGUCUGGUGGGCUCCAUCCCACUACACCGUCCACCCUCUGAGACUAAUAAGUUGACUGAGGCAACAACUUCCAUACUCAAAUCUGGUUUUCUUCUCUGUCCAUUACUCCAGUUCAUCCUCAGAUACCUGAAACCUCGCUGACAUGUCGGACAACGAAGAAGUAACCGAGGAGUAUGAGGAAGAGGCAGAAGAAGAGGAGGAGCCUACUGAAG